rnacentral:rRNA from 1 species
UCCUACGGGAGGCAGCAGUAAGGAAUAUUGGUCAAUGGACGCAAGUCUGAACCAGCCAUGCCGCGUGGAGGAUUAAGGCCCUCUGGGUUGUAAACUCCUUUUAUCUGGGAAGAAAUGUUUCGAUUCUUCGAAGCUUGACGGUACCAGAGGAAUAAGCACCGGCUAACUCCGUGCCAGCAGCCGCGGUAAUACGGAGGGUGCAAGCGUUAUCCGGAUUCACUGGGUUUAAAGGGUGCGUAGGCGGACAGGUAAGUCAGUGGUGAAAUCUCCGAGCUUAACUCGGAAACUGCCGUUGAUACUAUUUGUCUUGAAUACUGUGGAGGUAAGCGGAAUAUGUCAUGUAGCGGUGAAAUGCUUAGAUAUGACAUAGAACACCAAUUGCGAAGGCAGCUUACUACACAGCGAUUGACGCUGAGGCACGAAAGCGUGGGGAUCAAGCAGGAUUAGAUACCCUGGUAGUCCACGCCCUAAACGAUGAUUACUCGACAUACGCGAUACACUGUGUGUGUCUGAGCGAAAGCAUUAAGUAAUCCACCUGGGAAGUACGUUCGCGAGAAUGAAACUCAAAUGAAUUGACGGA